GCAUAAAAUGGGAAGCUUGAUAGUGCCUGUUUCUAGAAGCAGGCUUCCAUAUACUUAGGUGCAGUGCACUGUGCUGUGAGCUGAUAGUGAUGUGAAUGGUGGUUUUCGUUGUUGUUUUGGUUUGUUUGUUUUUGAAAUUUAGCAGAUCUACAGACCUUGGCUAUCACGAGAGUCACAGUCAGUGCCUUGAAAAGCUGUAGGAGCAGAGAGAGUGAUGGAAGUCCUUCAGCAUUUUAUUUUCAUGUGCACUGUUAGGGAAUGUGCUAUUAGAAGCAAAAUUGAUUGUGAUAUAUACAAUUUGCAUAUUUGAAAUAAGUCUGAUAACGCAUAUUUUUCCAUUCUUAAUGGAUUAGAGAAGAACUACCAGUAUAUUUGAUUCCUCUGUGACAACAUGAGGAGAGAAUUCAAGCAUUAAAUGGACACAGCAACUAGCCCCUUCCAGAAGGCCUCUCUUCUCUGUGUUUGAAAAGCAGUUGAUGCUGUUGGACCCAAUCCUGAUUAGGACGUGUGACUGCUACUACAGUAUAUUAGUAUAAAUCAUAAUAACUUGAAUAAGUUGAUCUAUAUUAUUUGCUAUUAAUGUAAUUAUUUUUACCGAGUUUGUAAUUUGUACGAUUUAUUAGUGAAAUUCUUUUCAGAAGUAUGCUGCUCCCCUCACUGCUGAGCGUGUCUGGUCUGCUAGAUUUAUCUCAUUAUAAAUAGCCCUCUGCAUCCUGAUUUGUAUUGUUGUAAAGUCUUGAAGCACUGUGCCAGCAAACUUAAAAUUAACAGUGAACAACUAAUUAACGAUUAUGCAACUUGAAAGCAGUGCUAAUUAAAAAAAGUUUUUAAGGGAUGAGGUUUUCAGUUGAAAUACAAAAUAAGCCAGAGACUUGCGUGCCUAAAAUAGAAGUUUGGACCAACGAGCAGAAAUGCAAAAAAGCAGUAGCUGUAUAAGAAACAAUUUUUUCAUUUUCUCUUCAGGUAACUCUCUCCAAGUCUUUGGGAUCAAAAGAAAAUUCACUGUUUUGGAUAGAAAUUGUAAAUCAGUGUAUAUUGAAAUUGUCAUGGUGUUUCAGUCAUUAUAUGUUGGAGCGUGUUCUGUCAUGGAGAUUUUGGCUUAGAGAUCAUGACUGUAUCAAACAUGACUGUUGUCUGAAACAAGAUAGAAAUUGUCUGGAAGACUUCGCAUUACUUGCUUAAAAGCAUUCAAGUCUGGUAGUUGGGGGAGCUCUGCAUGCUUUGUGUCAUUUUUCUCGUUUUUAUCUCUUAUGUCCUCUUCUUCCCUAGAAUGUCAAGAUUUGGAGUUCAGUGGCUUCAGAAGUGGUUUAAACACUAUGUUUUUACAAGAAAAAAAGUUAGGAAGGUGCAUAAACUGAAUAAAGUAGUGUUAAAAACUGAUUUGUUUGCAGGCUCUCUGAGAAGAUCUUUUGAAGUUGUCUGUUUUCAUGCAUUGUAUCUUACCUAUAAGUAUCUAUGUAGGACGAUGGAGAAGUCAUGAGAUUAUUUUUGAUACAGCAGAGUUAUGGCUGCAUUUUAAUUCAGCAGAUGGUACUUGGAUUAUCUGUAUUUGCCUUUGAAUACUGAUGGCUGCUGCUUCUUUAAACAUGAAUCUUUGUCAAACCUUGCAACUAAGUAUAUCUCUAGGAUGACCUCUUUUUUUUAAGAGAUGUUAUUUUUGAUCGUGUGUCUCUUUUCUGGAAAUCAUAUUGUCUGAGGAGUAUGUUUGGAAAUCUAAAGGAAGUAAUGAGAUCUUGAGAUCUGUGGAGAGGGAAGGCUGAAUUCCACUGAGCAUUAAACUGGAGAUCUGGGUUCAGUACUACCUCACACUU